UCUAGGCAGGACAAAUCAAAAUAGGACGUACAUGGUAAAUGGUAGCGAAUUGAAGAAUGCAGUUGAACAGAGGGAUCUAGGAAUAACUGUGCAUAGUUCCCUGAAGGUUGAAUCUCAUGUAGAUAGGGUGGUAAAGAGAGAGUACAGAGGAGAUUGACUAGAAUGUUGCCUGGGCUUCAGCAACUAAGUUACAGAGAAAGGUUGAACAAGUUAGGUCUUUAUUCUUUGGAGCGCAGAAGGUUAAGGGGGGACUUGAUAGAGGUCUUUAAAACGGUGAGAGGGAUAGACAGAGUUGACGUGGAUAAGCUUUUCCCAUUGAGAGUAGGGAAGAUUCAAACAAGAGGACAUGACUUGAGAAUUAAGGGACAGACGUUUAGGGGUAAUAUGAGGGGGAAUUUAUUUACUCAGGGAGUGGUAGCUGUGUGGGAUGAGCUUCCAGUGGAAGUGGUGGAGGCAGUUUCGAUUUUAUCAUUUAAAAAUAAAUUGGAUAGGUAUAUGGACGGGAAAGGAAUGGAGGGUUAUGGUCUGAGUGCAGGUAGAUGGGACUAGGGGAGAAUACGUGUUCGGCACGGACUUGUAGGGCCGAUAUGGCCUGUUUCCGUGCUGUAAUUGUUAUAUGGUUAUAAGGUUAUAUGGAAUGGCCUAAUCCUACCUCUGAAACAUGACCUAAUGACCUGCUUUCCGUUAUUUUAGCUGAGAGGUUGCAGAAGAAAGAAGCCGGUAAGCUAGAAUUAGAUCGAAUCAAACCAUUCUUCAUCAUUAGACUUUGGUAAACUUUUCUGCAUGUUAAGCACUUUCAAUAUUAAUUUUCCAACAAUAAUUAUAACUUGGUGAUCAAUAGAAUUGCUGAAGCACCUGGAAAACGAUGAAACACGUUUAAAAGAAUCGAAGUCUGACAUAUGUACGACUGAAACAAACAAACUCAAGGCAGAACUGGAGAAAACAGGUAGGCAUGAUUUCACGGAUUUUACCAGAAUGGGCGACAUGGUGGCACAGCGGUAGAGUUGCUGCCUGACAGCGCCAGAGAUCCUGACGACGGAUUCUGUCUGUGCGGAGUUUGCACGUUCUGCGCGUGGGAUUUCUGCGGGUCCUCCAGUUUCCCACCGCACUCAAAACACGUGCAAAAUUUAGGUUAUUUGGGUUAUGUUAAAAAAAUGUAAAUUGUCUCUUGUGUGUAGGAUAAUGUUAGUGUGCAGGG